CUCCCUUUUUACGGGUCUGUAAAGCACAGACGCGUCUCACAGUGUGUUUGAUUCGUGCACCAUAAAGAACCGCUACAACGGAGUUUGGCUACUUCUAACAUUUGUCACACGUAGCACCGCCCCGUUUCGGUGUCCGGGUCGAAAAUCCUUGAACUAACGAGUUUCAGAGCCGCGCGCGCCAUAGAUGAUUGACAGAUCGGGCGUCCAAUACACUCAGCGCAAGGGGUGGGUGAACUUCAAAUUCCGCAGUCAGAGCGCGUUCCCGUUGACAGGGUUGAGAAGUGUGUGCGCGGUCACGCGAUCAGGGCGCGGUCCGUCCAGUUCUGAAGAAGUUUGUGUUUCUAAGUAAAGACCGGACACAAAAAGUCACUUCACCGAGUCGAACAGGCUCGUGGUGGUUGAAUGGAACGGUUCCGGGUUCUUAUGGUUCAGCGAUCGUUCCCCUGCUGUGGAACGUUUUACUAACGGAUGUCGAACGUUAUUGGCAGGAGAAGCGGUUCUCUAAACGUUCUACAAACUACCAUCCGGGAACCUUUGAAUGAAAACCAAAACUGAUGUUUCUUCGCUUUUUUUCAUUUCAUUUUUCAUACUUUUAUUGCUCUUAAUAAAUGGUUUAUAUUUCUAUCAUAUGUCAGCACUGCCCAGCUGUGCGAACAAUAAUCUCUAAUAAUUUUAAAUAAUACCAUGAAUGGAUCAUUAAACUGGGACUGGAGAAGCAGCAGGAAAUGAGUGGAUGAAUAAAUGGAUGGAAAACAAUGUAUUUCAGGUCCAGGUAUGAGUUUAACGUGAGGUCGACGCCCUCUGGCCUGUUGGUUGGGUGUGCUCUGCUCUUGCAGGUGCAGGUACAGGUGGCUGGGCCUGAGAGGACUGAGGUCUGACUGGGAGCAUCUGGGCCCAGUGAUCCCAGUGCCUUUUUUGGCUCGUUGAUCAGUUUUCCCACAUCUCGUCCCUUUAAGCUGAAUCCUUUCUGUUUAGUAAAUAAACUGGUUAAAGUUUAUGUGCAUUUCUGGUGUUUGUCCCUUUUUGUCAGAAAAUUUUCUAAGAAACUUUACUGUCUGAGACGUUUGUGGACGACGUAAGACCAGAACUUUUACAGUGUUUUUUUUUUGUGAGGAAAGUUUUUAAGCUCUGUUCUGAAAUGUGUCGGCCUUUUUCUGUGUGUGUGUGUACGAUGUUCCUCUCAGGUUUCCAGAUGCAGGUAAAAACAUCCUGACAGGUGGUGGUGGGUGAUGAUGGGGGUGUGGUAUUGAUCAGUGACCUUCAAUGACCUUUGACGAUCUACAGUUGAUGCUCACAGAGGCGCUGAUUCUGCUUUUAGAUUCAGAUGAGUUGUUAUUUUGCUCUUGUUUGUUGUUUAUUAUUUCUUUCUACAUGUUUUGUUGAUUUAGUUGCUGUAACAGCUGAAACUCCCACAGAUUAACCAAAGCACUGUGGACCUUUGUAUGAACUUUACAGUUUCCAGCGAUGCUUCAUUUUGUAGAUGCUCUUCAUGUUUACACAGAAUUCUGGUGAUUUUCUGGAUCAGUAAAUGAUCUGUUGGGUUUGUAAGUGCAGCAGGUCGUGAGCUGGGAAUCUGGGACGGCAGCAGAUGGUUUUCCUGCUGCUUAAACACGUCGGUUUCUGUGUGAUCAAUAAAGUUGAUUUCAUAUUUUG